rnacentral:piRNA from 1 species
UGUGCAUCUCUGUGUGGCUCUGUGCAGU